rnacentral:rRNA from 1 species
UACGAAGGGGGCUAGCGUUGCUCGGAAUUACUGGGCGUAAAGCGCACGUAGGCGGCUUUCUAAGUCGGGGGUGAAAUCCUGGAGCUCAACUCCAGAACUGCCUUCGAUACUGGAAAGCUCGAGUCCGGGAGAGGUGAGUGGAACUGCGAGUGUAGAGGUGAAAAUUCGUAGAUAUUCGCAAGAACACCAGUGGCGAAGGCGGCUCACU